GCCAGAGAUACUUAGUCAGAGAGCAGCGGUGUUCGGACGGUAUUGUACUAACCAGAGCUUUUUCUGCAGCCUAUUUUCUUACAUCCCAUGGAUUGAAUCAAUCCCCUGCGUGGAAGCCAAGAGUGGUAGUGAUCCCUGAGAACAGAGAGAGUGUGUCUGAAUCCUUGAGGAGGACUACAAAGCUAAACCUCAAAACACUGUGAAAAACAUCUUCACUCUCAUUGCUUUCAAUCCAUCUGGUUUCAUCAUGGCUGGUCCCGCACCAGUUGAACAGACAUUACGUCACAGUGCCCUUGUCCUCCUCCUGCUGAGUGUGAGUGGUAGCCUGGGCCAGAAGGACUGUACAGGUGUAGACUGCCCUGAUCUGAGUAACUGUAUUGAGGAGCGGCUGGAAGCUGGGGCUUGCUGUACUACCUGCGUUCAGAUUGGGUGUACCUGUGAGGGCUACCAGUACUACGACUGUGUCCAUGCCGGCUUUAAGAAUGGUCAUGUUCCCGAGGGGCAGUCCUACUUCGUGGACUUCGGGAGUACGGAGUGUUCGUGCCCGGAAGGUGGCGGACGGAUUGGCUGUCACUUCAUGCCCUGUCCUGACGUCCCUGCUAACUGCAUCGAGGUGUCUGAGCCGGCUGACGGCUGUGUCACCUGCGAACGUAUCGGCUGUGUCCAUGACAACCAGAAGUACGAGGCCGGACACUCCUUUCACCUUGUUGCCUGUGAGGCGUGCCACUGUCCGUCCGACGGAGGUCAGCUGAUGUGCUACCCUGUCCCAGGCUGUGAUCCCAGCAACCCCGGUGACCCCCACAAACCUAUGCUGGCCACCAUACAGGAGGGUCACCCUACAUAUCCCCCUAUCCAUCCCUACCUCACACAGGACAAACUGAGAGAGACUGAGAGAGAUGCUAAACCCCCCUUUAACACACAGCCUAUAGGAUUACCCCCCUACAACCGUCCUCCAUACCCUUUCAACGGGCCAAAACUACCACCAUCUAACAGCCCACACCUCCCCCCGUUCCCGAUCGAUGCCCCUAUUCCCUCGGACCACCUGCCCCUGUUCAAACCAGACCACAUGACUGAGGAUGGGGACUAUGACUACCCUACUACAGACACAUCAGAACCACCUGUGAAUGAUCUGGCCUACCCUACACCGUCCUCCUCUGUCAUCUCUGUCUCCUACCCUGGGACAGGGGCUACACAGCCGCGCCACGACAGGGGUAAUAGUAAGAGCUACGAUAAGCCUUAUGAUUGGGCUGAUAACGGCUAUGGUAACAAGGAAUAUGAUAGUAGAGAUAGGCAGGAGCUGAGGGAGAUCUAUGGAGUCCAUGAGCCAACCACAGACACUAUGGUUACAGACAGAGUAGGACUGAGAGACAGGCUAGGGCAGACAGACAGAUCUCAGCAUAUAGGUAGGGUGAAGCUGACAGACAAGCUAAAGAAAACAGACAGGUUGAUGACAUUUGGACUUUACAAGGCCACCACAGAUGGGUUCGGAGAGACAGGCAGCCCAGUUACUGACAGCCCAGUGACAGGAGAACAGACCACUUCUAGCCAGCUUGAAGACACCACAGUAGAGACCACCUCCCGCAGUACCAGCUCCAGCCACCAGGACACCACCUCGAACUGGAACAGACUCUCAGAGAGCCAGAUUUACCCUCACUCUCAAGGGGCCAGUGCUGGGGACGCACUGGAGAUCUGGGAUAGAGGGAUGGAGGAGGAGCAGGAGGAAGAGGAGGAGAGAGUAGAUUCAUUGGAGAAUACCACAGGACCUGGGUGGAGAGACGUGGCUUAUGAUGGAGAGUUGGAUAAACAGAGGAGGACAGGAGAGGAGGAGGAGAGAGAGAAGAGUACCCCUAGCAACCAUGUGAAGGAUGCAGGUGUCAGUCACCAGGACAACACUACAGUAGAACACAGUACUACAUCCCCCAGAAGGAAUCGGGACCACAUCAUCCACAGGAAGCCUCACCAACACACCCUGACCCAGAAGCCUACGCCUCACAAUACUACCCCUAGGGAGUAUGAGGUCGUCACAGACAGAACUACGUCUCCCAGAUUGCCUGACCACCACACCUUGACCAGGAAGCCUGACCACUACACAACCCCCAAGGAGUAUGAGGUCCACACAGACAGACCUAUAUAUCCCAGACUGCCUGACCACCACACAGUCAAAACUCCAAGAGAGCUUGAUGUCAACACUGACAGAACUACAAUCCCAAGACAAGCUGAGCACCACAGCCUCAACAGACAGCCUGAUCACCAUACCCUGACCAGGAAGCCUGACCCCUAUGCAGUCAGAACUACAACUCCCAGAGAGCUGAACCACCACACAACCCACAGACAGCCUGAUCACUAUACCCUGACCAGACACCCUGAUCCCCAUCACCCAGCUCCCAAGGACCCAGAGCAGCAACAUACUCCUCCCAGGGUGAGAUUCAGCCCAACCAGCCAGCCUUCUCUCAGGGUAUCAGCUGAUCUAGGUCACCACGGAAGUGAGCCUCUCCGUAAGCAGUCCCAGACACUAUUCAACCUGCAGAACAAUGAUGCGGAGGAGGAGGAGAAGGAGGAGGAGGAGAGGGGAUAUGUUCCAGUCUUUCUCCCAAAAACUCAGGAGGCUGGUCCUGGUCCGUCUUCUCUCCACGUGGUGGAGAGCUGCUGUGAGGUGGGCCAGAGAUGGGCAUCAGAGAACCAACACUGUAACAACAUGCCGUUGUUGAAGGACGAUAAACACUCUGUCUGCAGUAUAUCCCAGCAGCAGUGUUGUCAGAAUGUCCUAAAGGAGACCAGGUGUCUGGCAGGUAUCACUGCUGCUAAAGGAGGAGACAGGUGUGAGGUCAACCAGGAGAGCCAGUGUGCUGCAGACUCUUACCAGGUGUGCUGCAGUUGUUGUGUGCUGGGUCUGGCUCUACAUUCUGAAGGUAGAGGGUGUGAUGCCCACCAAUACCUGGGGAACCCCUGUGGUCAUGUCCUGCUCACCUGCUGUGAAGAGGAGGGGCUCAGCCCUAACCCUAACCAAACACAGAGUAGGAAGGAGAGGCCCAGACCUACUACCCUGUCUGAGAAAGAUGUGAAUGAGUGUGUGACCAGCAUGCACAGUUGCCAGGCCAGUGAGCGCUGUGUGAACACCGUGGGAUCGUUUGUGUGUGAGACGACCGUCACUUGUCCUGCUGGCUUCCAGCUCAGGAACCAAGUCUGUGAGGAUAUUGAUGAGUGUCUGGUGCGCAGCCACAACUGUGGUCAAAGGUUUGAGUGUGAGAACACGGAGGGCUCCUUCCUGUGUAACCCUAAACAGAGAUGUCUCACCGGCUUCACCCAGGACUCACAUGGAAACUGCAUUGAUAUUAAUGAGUGCAGUAGUCUAUCUGAUCCGUGCAGUGCUGGUUUUCACUGUAUCAACACUGUGGGCUCCUAUACCUGUCAGAGGAAGGUUAUCAUGUGUAGUCAGGGUUACCACUCCAGCCCUGAUGGAACACGCUGCAUCGAUGUGGAUGAAUGUCAGACAGGUAACCAUGGGUGUGGUGAGGGUCAGAUCUGUCACAACCUCCCUGGGAGCUACCGCUGUGACUGUCAAACAGGCUACCUGUACGAUGCACUACGCCAGGUCUGCAGCGAUGUGAAUGAGUGUUGGAGCUACCCCGGCAGGCUAUGUGCUCAGACGUGUGAGAACAGUCCAGGAUCCUACCAGUGUUCCUGUACAGCAGGCUUCUCUCUGGCCUUCGACGGGAAGAACUGUGAAGAUCUGAAUGAGUGUGACUCUAGUCCGUGUGGUCAGGAGUGUGCUAACAUCUAUGGGUCCUACCAAUGUUACUGCAGACAGGGCUUCUACCUGAAGGAAGACGGACACACCUGUGAAGAUAUUGAUGAGUGUUCCCAGAGUGUUGGCAACCUGUGUGUGUUCCAGUGUGUGAACAUCCCAGGGAGCUAUCAGUGUGCCUGUCCCCCUAACGGAUACACCAUGUCAACCACCGGACACACCUGCAGAGAUAUUGAUGAGUGCACAACAGGAGUUCAUAACUGCUCUACAGAACAGACCUGCUCCAACGUCCAGGGAGGGUACAGGUGUCUCACUUUCUCCUGCCCUACAUAUUACAGAAAGGUCUCAGAUACUCGUUGUGAGCGCAGUGGUUGUCCAGCAAACUCUGUAGACUGCCAGACCUCUCCUCUGAGAAUCACCUACUACCAGCUGAGCUUCCAGAUCAACAUUGUCAUCCCCACUCAGAUCUUCAGGAUUGGCCCCUCCCCCGCCUACAGGGGAGACAACAUUGCUAUCUCCAUCACCCACGGUAACGAGGAGAACUACUUCUCCACGCGGAAGCUGAACAGUUUUACUGGGGCGGUGUACCUGCAGCGGCAGGUGAGACAGCCGAGAGACUUCCUGAUCGAUGUGGAGAUGAAGCUGUUGAGACAGGGAGCCUUCACUACCUUCCUGGCCCGGAUAUAUGUCUUCAUCACCUCUAACACUGUCUAAACACACACCAUCCCAGAACAGACUGUCACCCACCACUUCUGUAAUAUUCAUAUGGUGAUGAACUUUAUACUUGUAACUUACAUAUAUAUAUAUAUAUAUAUUUCAUCAUACGAUCUUAUCCGGAGCGACUUACAAAAGCAAGUGCAUACAUUUUCAUAGGUUUUCAUACUGGCCCUCCGUGGGAAUUGAACCCACAAGGACCGUGCUCUACCAACUAAGCCACGCACUUCAAAAACUGGAUUGUUACUAAAGACUAAGUUAGUCUUCUGUUUUUAUACAAAAUCAUUUUUCUGAGUCUUUUAUCAUGUAAUGUCUCAAGCUGUGUGGUUUGACUCUGCCAAGGUGGUCCCCAGUGUCCUCCUGCUCCUUAACCUCUGGAACCUUCCAAUCCCAACAUCAACUUUCAGAGGUUUUGAAGCUACUGAAUGGAGAACCCUGGAGCAGCUCUUAGACCAGAGCUUGUAGAGGGGUACCUCUGUAUCCUCUACUCUGUAUCCCUCUCUCUCUCCGCUGUCUCUCUCCGCUCUCUCUCUCCGCU